AACUAACGGAUAAUGAUAAUAAUGGAGACAAUUUAUCGAGCGCUGUAUUGUUCCAGACUGCGUGUUUUGGACUUUAAUUGGCUUACUUAACAUUCACAAAAACCCUGUAAGGAACAGCAGCACUCCCUGCUUGGCCCGAUAUUCGUGGCGUCAGAGGCCUCAGCAGCAAAAUCUGGCCCGGCGGCGUUCCACAAGUUCUCGCGCAAGGGAAAAUCCUCACCAAGGACGGAACUGGCCGGCCAGAGAUUCUCUCAGGCAGUUAACGCGGGGCGGCUGCCGUGGCGGGGGCGUGGUUUGCACUUCCUACGGCUGCGAACCCACCGGGGGUUUGCGUGUUUCCCUUGAUUCCUGGAGGACACAGCUGGGAUGGACUUGACCCAAGACUCAGGGAUGACGAAAGGGAAAUAAACAGAGUAACGUACUACUGGAUAAUCUUUCUGAUUUACGAACUAUGAUUUACUUAUCUUCAAUGUGAGGAGCGGCUUUAAGGCGUUUGAGACUGUGCGCAACUCCCAGUCUGCUCUACCCGACUGGGGGCAUCUUUAACCCUUUCUACGCCGGAGCGGUAUCCAGUACACCUGGAUUCAGAAUCCAGACUAAGGUCUCCAUCAUUCAACACUAGCAGGACACACACACACACACACACACACACACACACCACCACCACCACCACCACCACCACCACCAGCCCUUUACAGGGAUAAUCCCUCAUGCUCAAAGCCCCCAUCCCUUCCCUACUGGGAUAAUCCAAUUUAACCUUCCUUGAUGGAUUAAGCGUUCUGCAACAAAACAAUGGUUGACAAGGAUCUUAAGGGUGGACUCUGAGAUGUAGAAAUGCUGCAAAUUAGCCUGGAGGUGGGAGGCAGGCCGAGAAAGGGGAUGCUUUCCUCUUACAGCAGCAAAACACGGAAACGAAACACAAGUACAAUUUAAUUCAAAAUACCACUGUGUGAUGUUAGCCUCAUAGAACCUGUUUACUUAAACAGUAUAGACUUUCGUCCUCUUAUUACUGUAUGCUUUAGGUCUAAAUUUUCUCACAAUGUAAAGUUUUCUUUAUUCUGUUACAAUCAUCUAUUUCUUUUAAGUUAUAAAAUGCAAUGGUAAAAGAGGAAUGAAAGUAGAAUUCGGAUGCUCCUUUGAGAAACAGGAGACAGGGAGUCCUUCGUGGAUGAAGACAAUGUAGCUUUCUAGGGGCCUUUCUGCUGAUUGCUCUUUUGAGGGGCAGGAAGCCCACCACUCAGAAGUGAACCAUUGAGGACACAAGGAUGCCCCGGGCUUUAUGGCUGCUACCUAAGUAGGGGGUUCUAGCCAACUUAAGUGACUUGAUAUGAUUAGCAAGUCCAGUUUCUACUCAGCACUGCCUCUCUGCUAAAAGUUAGACGCUGUAACCAAGUUAGAGCUUGUAAGCUUAAAAUACCCCUAGGCAUAGGAGUUGGAAACUUGGAGAGGACCAGGCUGGACUUCUGGACUUUUCUACUAUAACUUGCAGAUUAAUUCUGCACAUUAAAAGCAUAUUCAGAUCAACAGAAUGGCCAUCUACCCUGGAAUCCCAGGAUCUUCACAUCCUAUAAGAGCUCUCACCCUUAUCUUACCCUGGACUUUUUUUUUUUCAAAUAUCCAAUACAAAACUCACAUGGACUAUUGCCUCAAGAACGAAACUCCGGCAAAUUGGAGAGAGGGUGAGCAGCCUGUGGAUGAGGAAAAUAAACAACAAACCUGUCCUUCAUAAAGUCUGGAUGAAGAGGGAGGAGAUACUGGGAGAUGAACAGCAGAGGAUAGGUAAUCAAUGGGGUAUUUUUUUUUUCUUUUACUAGUGAGAGAGUUUUGAGCAUGUUUGUAAGCAGGUGAAAAGAAGUUCACAUGGAAGACACUAAGAAAGAUAUACCUAAUGGCACAAGAUCCCAGAGGAAUGGGAUCAGAAGCUCUGACAGAAAUCAUAGUCCUCUAUUAGAAUGGAGACAUGGGGCUGGAAGAAAGGAGGUAAGAAUGGGGCCUCUAGAUAAUGUAAGAAUAGAUGCUGUGAACCUAAGGAAGACCACUCUUGAUGGUAUCAUUUUCUCAAUAAAAUAAGAGAUAAGGGUUGCAUAAUGAGUUUGAGAAAAGAUGACAAAGAUUUGACCAUAUGAGAAAUAGGGACCAUGAAUUAGAAAUGGUACCAAUCUGCAAGGGCGUAUAAUUUUUUUCUGACAGCCCCUCAAUCUUGUCUGAUCAGAUAGGACCUCAAGGAAUUGAGGAUGUUGGGGAGGUAUGAGUUUAUCUUAUCAAUCAAAGAAAUCCAGCCCCUGUGGGGAACAAUGAAGCCAUGAAGGACCUGGAUGAUGGAUGAAGGUGGAGGAUCAAGGGGGUGGAGGAUCAAGGGACUGGAGGGCUUAAAGGUGUCUAAGAGCCAUGAGGGUAGGGUGAAGGAAUGUGAAAGAGGGAAGGAGAGGAGGUCCUGGAGGGAAAUAUCAGAGCUCAAGGUUUUAGAAGAGUAGUAAGUUCUAAAGGUUAUGGCAAGAUCCAAGAAGUGAGCAAUUGAAUUAGUCAGAUAGGGUGAAAGGGGGAAGGUGUUUUUUUUUUUUUUUUAAUCUCUGUGUAUGUAUUGUCUACAUUCAUAUUGCAUCUCCUGGAACUGUGGCAGAUAGGACUUGGGGUAAGGGCAAGACCAUGAUACAAGGUCUAGCUGUUGGAGGGACUGGUAAAUCAAAGCCACAGGGAUGAUCAGAGGAUGGUAGAGCUAGAUGGAAGAGACCGCCUUCUAAGAGAUUUGUUUUUCUAGAGGCCAUGGAAGCAAACCAACCUGGAGUUGGCAAUGAGAAACCAGGAGAAUGCUACCCUUCAUCACAGUCCCCUAGUAUGUAGGGAAUGGAAGAAUAUCAACUUCCUUAAGAGAAAGCUGUGUAGUAAAAGGAUAGACUAGAUUUUAAUAAAAGAAAAGAGAUGGAAAGGGUGACUUAAAAUAGGGGUGAAGUGGUACAGAGGCUUGCUAAUUACUAAACUAGCACUUCAUAAGAAUGUAAUGGGAAAUGAUUUGUAAAGUACUGAGGGAAAGUGGAAGAGGGGUUUUUGCUUACUGUAUUUUUCUUAAUUUAUUGUAAUUGACAAAUAAUUGUAUAUACUCAGGAGGUGUGAUGUAAUAAUAUAUAUGAACAUAUAUGCACAUUGUAGAAUAAUUACAUCAAAGUGACAUAUUUUCUACCUCAGAUACUUAGCAUUUCUUUAUGUAAGAACAUUUAAAAUCUCUUUUAGCAAUUUUGAAAUAUAUAAAACAUUAUUCUUAAUUAUAGUCACCAUGCUGUGCAAUAGAUCACAGACUUAUUUCUUCUGUGUUAACUGAAACUUUGUGCCCUUUGAUCAACAUCUUCCCUUUCCCCAUCCAAAUAAUCACUAUCUCCAAAUCCCCAGCCUCUGGUAGGCACCAUUCUUCUACUCUCUACAUCUGUGAGUUUGACUUUUUUAGAUUCCAUGUAUAAGUAAGAUCAUGCAGUACAGUAUUUGUGUUUCUCUGCCUGGCCUAUUCCACUUAGGCAUAAUUUUCUCCCAGUUCAUCCUCAUUGUCACAAAGGGCAGAAUUUCUUUCUUUUU